ensembl:snoRNA
GCCCAAUGAUGAGACCAGGCACACUUGAGCUAAUUGGCUGAGGGGUCAUGUAGUCCUGCUUUCUGAUUGGUGGGUAAUCUUGGCAGGGAAGCGAAGGUUUGCUUCUCUGCUGUAAGGGUCCACCUAAAGUAAACUGGCAGCUACCCUUAAUAAGACACUCUCUCUUUGAGUCGUGAGUGGGAGACAAGGGAACUGCUGACAUUUGUGUGUGUCUGUCUGUGUGUGUGUGUGUCAGUAAGCAUGGCAUCAUGACUCUCUCUGUGACAGCCAAUCAGUAUUGAUUUUGUUCUUUGGUAAUCUGAGGGCA